CGUAGUUAGCCGUGGCUUAUUCAUUGGGUACCGUCCUUUUUCUCGUCCCAAUAAAAGAGCUUUACAACCCGAAAGCCUUCAUCACUCACGCGGCGUUGCUGCAUCAGGGUUUCCCCCAUUGUGCAAGAUUCCU
rnacentral:rRNA from 1 species